UAACUCCUACGGGACGCAGCAGUGGGGGAUAUUGCACAAUGGGGGGAACCCUGAUGCAGCGACGCCGCGUGGGUGAAGAAGCGCCUCGGCGCGUAAAGCCCUGUCAGCAGGGAAGAGAAUGACGGUACCUGAAGAAGAAGCCCCGGCUAACUACGUGCCAGCAGCCGCGGUAAUACGUAGGGGGCAAGCGUUAUCCGGAUUUACUGGGUGUAAAGGGGGCGUAGGCGGGACUGCAAGUUGGGUGUCAAAUCUACCGGCUCAACCGGUAGCCGCACUCAAAACUGCAGUUCUUGAGUUAAGUAGAG
rnacentral:rRNA from 1 species